rnacentral:rRNA from 1 species
UACGUAAGGUGCAAGCGUUAAUCGGAAUUACUGGGCGUAAAGCGUGCGCAGGCGGUUCGGAAAGAGAGGUGUGAAAUCCCAGGGCUUAACCUUGGAACUGCAUUUUUAACUGCCGGGCUAGAGUAUGUCAGAGGGGGGUAGAAUUCCACGUGUAGCAGUGAAAUGCGUAGAGAUGUGGAGGAAUACCGAUGGCGAAGGCAGCCCCCUGGGAUAAUACUGACGCUCAUGCACGAAAGCGUGGGGAGCAAACAGG